rnacentral:lncRNA from 1 species
CCGGCAGCGCCGUCCUCACCCGCCCUCUCCGCGUCGCGGCGGUCUGAGGAAUGAGCGUCUUCCGGGUGGCCGCCGCCGCUUCCACUCAGGCUCCGGCGGGUGGGCAGCAGAGCGAGGCUGCCGGCGCGGUCUCCGCAAGGAGAGCGGAGUGAAUGACCGAGGACAGCGGCGCGGAGAGGUAGCCCCGGGAUCAAGAUGCAGGCGCCCGCCAGCAUCCUCAACCUCCUGCUGCUGUCCUUGCUGGCCGGCCUCGAUCAUUCCAAGCUACCGACAGUACCAGCUAUUGCUGUGUUCUGCAGAGACUUACCAGGCAAUGCACAGGACAUGUGUCAACAGGAACACAUGGGCACAUUACUGUAUCACAGGUUUCCCCAGUCAUUUUUCUAUCAUCAGUUGCACUUGGAUCUAUUAAAGUCAAAGAGACUGCCUGAAAGCAGACCAAAAACAACAACAAAAAAAAACCAAAACAAACAAACAAAAAAAAAACCACCAACAAAAACUGAAUGAAGACUAAAACACUGAUGAAGAAAACCAGCUUCAGCUGACAGAAAUCUGCUUAGCUCAUGUGUCAGAGCGAUGUCCCAAAAUAACAGGGGGAAGACAUGCUCCAUCUAAUAUGUCUGUCACUGACCAGCACUGAAAAAUCAGGAUGAACCACUACAACCAAAUCUGAUUACUUGUCUUUGAAACUUCGCUUCUAGUCCUUUUUGGCAUGGCGUCUGGUGUCCAAAGGGUGUUAGAAAGGCCUUUUAUUCAUCUUGAGGUGAGACAUCUUCAGGGAUAUUAAAACGCUAAUUGCAUGCCCUUUUAACUCUGUGAAGAAGCCGUGAGCCAGGAAGAUCUAAAGUCCUUAAGAAUAUGUAAAAAUGUGAGCCCUUAAUCAAAGUCUGCUGUUUAUUGGAGCUAAACUGGGUUUUCAGAAAUAAAAUAAAUGAGAGAUCAAAUGGUUACUCACAUCCUUGGCUAAGAUACUACAGCACAUUUACCAUUUAAGAAGGUGUCACGUGGCAGAUAAUAAUUUAGUUUUGUUGAC